rnacentral:rRNA from 1 species
GAUGAACGCUAGCGGGAGGCCUAACACAUGCGAGCCGAGCGGUAUUGUUUCUUCGGACAUGCGAGAGCGGCGUACGGGUGCGUAACACGUGUGCAACCUGCCUUUAUCUGGGGGAUAGCCUUUCGAAAGGAAGAUUAAUACUCCAUAAUAUAUUGAACGGCAUCGUUUAAUAUUGAAAGCUCCGGCGGAUAGAGAUGGGCACGCGCAAGAUUAGCUAGUUGGUGAGGUAACGGCUCACCAAGGCGAUGAUCUUUAGGGGGCCUGAGAGGGUGAUCCCCCACACUGGGACUGAGACACGGACCAGACUCCUACGGGAGGCAGCAGUGAGGAAGAUUGGUCAAUGGGUGCAAGCCUGAACCAGCCAUCCCGCGUGAAGGACGACUGCCCUAGGGGUUGUAAACUUCUUUUGUAUAGGGAUAAACCUACCCUCGAGAGGGUAGCUGAAGGUACUAUACGAAUAAGCACCGGCUAACUCCGUG